GACGAACGCUGGCGGCGUGCCUAAUACAUGCAAGUCGAGCGAAUGGAUUAAGAGCUUGCUCUUAUGAAGUUAGCGGCGGACGGGUGAGUAACACGUGGGUAACCUGCCCAUAAGACUGGGAUAACUCCGGGAAACCGGGGCUAAUACCGGAUAAUAUUUUGAACUGCAUGGUUCAAAAUUGAAAGGCGGCUUCGGCUGUCACUUAUGGAUGGACCCGCGUCGCAUUAGCUAGUUGGUGAGGUAACGGCUCACCAAGGCAACGAUGCGUAGCCGACCUGAGGGGGUGAUCGGCCACACUGGGAAUGAGACACGGCCCAGACUCCUACGGGAGGCAGCAGUAGGGAAUCUUCCGCAAUGGACGAAAGUCUGACGGAGCAACGCCGCGUGAGUGAUGAAGGCUUUCGGGUCGUAAAACUCUGUUGUUAGGGAAGAACAAGUGCUAGUUGAAUAAGCUGGCACCUUGACGGUACCUAACCAGAAAGCCACGGCUAACUACGUGCCAGCAGCCGCAGUAA
rnacentral:rRNA from 1 species